CAGAGUGGGGGGCGAGGGGGGGGGGAAGAGCGGAGGGGGCAAGCGGUAUUAGGAAGUGCUGGGCGUAAAGCGUUGGCAGGCGGCUUAUUAAGUCAGAUGUGAAAUCCCUAGGCUCAACCUAGGAACUGCAUUUGAAACUAAUAAACUAGAGUAUCGUAGAGGGAGGUAGAAUUCCAGGUGUAGCGGUGAAAUGCGUAGAUAUCUGGAGGAAUACCAGUGGCGAAGGCGACCUCCUGGACGAAAACUGACGCUCAAGCACGAAAGCAUGGGGAGCAAACAGGAUUAGAUACCCCUGUAGUC
rnacentral:rRNA from 1 species